AGAGUUUGAUCCUGGCUCACGACGAACGCUGGCGGCGUGCCUAAUACAUGCGAGUACAACGCUGAACAGAGGAGCUUGCUCUUCUUGGAUGAGUUGCGAACGGGUGAGUAACGCGUAGGUAACCUGCCUUGUAGCGGGGGAUAACUAUUGGAAACGAUAGCUAAUACCGCAUAACAAUGGAUGACACAUGUCAUUUAUUUGAAAGGGGCAAUUGCUCCACUACAAGAUGGACCUGCGUUGUAUUAGCUAGUAGGUGAGGUAACGGCUCACCUAGGCGACGAUACAUAGCCGACCUGAGAGGGUGAUCGGCCACACUGGGACUGACACACGGCCCACACUCCUACGGGAGGCAGCAUUAGGGAAUCUUCGGCAAUGGGGGCAACCCUGACCGAGCAACGCCGCGUGAGUGAAGAAGGUUUUCGGAUCGUAAAGCUCUGUUGUAAGUCAAGAACGAGUGUGAGAGUGGAAAGUCCACACUGUGACGGUAGCUUACCAUAAAGGGACGGCUAACUACGUGCCAACAGCCGCGGGAAUACCUAGGUCCCGAGCGUUGUCCGGAUUUAUUGGGCGUAAAGCGAGCGCACGCGGUUUGAUAAGUCUGAAGUUAAAGGCUGUGGCUCAACCAUAGUUCGCUGUGGAAACUGUCAAACUUGAGUGCAGAAGGGGAGAGUGGAAUUCCAUGUGUAGCGGUGAAAUGCGUAGAUAUAUGGAGGAACACCGGUGGCGAAAGCGGCUCUCUGGUCUGUAACUGACGCUGAGGCUCGAAAGCCUGAAGAGCGAACAGGACUAGAUACCUGGUUAGUACUACGCCGGUAAACGAUGAGUGCUACGUGUUAGUAUCCCUCUUCCGGCAAUCAGAGUCGCAUCUGACGCAUUAAGCACUCCGGCGUGAGGUAGUAGCCACCGCAUGUAGAUAACUCAACAUGGAAUGACGCGGGCCCGCACUAUGACGUCGAGCGAUGUCGGUAUAAUGCGUAGCCACGUACAUGAAUAACUUACGAGGGUCUUGGACAGUCACGUAUGCUAUUC
rnacentral:rRNA from 1 species